GGUCUCCGUUGGUGAACCAGCGGAGGGAUCAUUACUGAGUUUACGCUCUAUAACCCUUUGUGAACAUACCUAUAACUGUUGCUUCGGCGGGUAGGGUCUCCGUGACCCUCCCGGCCUCCCGCCCCCGGGCGGGUCGGCGCCCGCCGGAGGAUAACCAAACUCUGAUUUAACGACGUUUCUUCUGAGUGGUACAAGCAAAUAAUCAAAACUUUUAACAACGGAUCUCUUGGUUCUGGCAUCGAUGAAGAACGCAGCGAAAUGCGAUAAGUAAUGUGAAUUGCAGAAUUCAGUGAAUCAUCGAAUCUUUGAACGCACAUUGCGCCCGCCAGCAUUCUGGCGGGCAUGCCUGUUCGAGCGUCAUUUCAACCCUCAAGCUCUGCUUGGUGUUGGGGCCCUACAGCUGAUGUAGGCCCUCAAAGGUAGUGGCGGACCCUCCCGGAGCCUCCUUUGCGUAGUAACUUUACGUCUCGCACUGGGAUCCGGAGGGACUCUUGCCGUAAAACCCCCAAUUUUCCAAAGGUUGACCUCGGAUCAGGUAGGAAUACCCGCUGAACUUAAGC
rnacentral:rRNA from 1 species